GGGGACUUAGAGGACUUGUCUUGAGACCAAAUAUUCUUGCUUGUUGUAGUACAAUGGCACUUGAUGAUAAUGUCAAGUUAAAGCUCUCUCCGUUUUGCCAUGUUCCGGCCGAAAAUACUGUCACUCUCUAUGACGUUCCAAAUAUUUGGCACAUUCCUUUACUACUAAGAUAAUCUUGAAGAACAAACUUCAACAAAAAGCGGCUUCUUCAAUAGACUGGCAC